rnacentral:rRNA from 1 species
CUUAGCGACCAUAGCGUUACGGACCCACCUGAUCCCAUGCCGAACUCAGAAGUGAAACGUAAUAGCGCCGAUGGUAGUGUGGGGUUUCCCCAUGUGAGAGUAGGACAUCGCUAGGC